AUUGAACGCUGGCGGCAUGCCUAACACAUGCCAGUCGAGCGGUAACAGAAAGAAGCUGGCUUCUUUGCUGACGAGCGGCGGACGGGUGAGUAAUGCUUGUGAACAUGCCUUGAGGUUGGGGACAACAGGUGGAAACGACUGCUAAUACCGCAUAAUGUCUACGGACCAAAGGGGGCUUCGGCUCUCGCCUUUUGAUUUGCCCAAGUGGGAUUAGCUAGUUGGUGAGGUAAUGGCUCACCAAGGCGACGAUCCCUAGCUGGUUUGAGAGGAUGAUCAGCCACACUGGGACUGAGACACGGCCCAGACUCCUACGGGAGGCAGCAGUGGGGAAUCUUGCACAAUGGGCGCAAGCCUGAUGCAGCCAUGCCGCGUGUGUGAAGAAGGCCUUCGGGUUGUAAAGCACUUUUAGUAAGGAGGAAAGGUUAGUAGUUAAUCCCUGCUAGCUGUGACGGUACUGACAGAAGAAGCACCGGCUAACUACGUG
rnacentral:rRNA from 1 species